rnacentral:rRNA from 1 species
GAUGAACGCUGGCGGCGUGCCUAAUACAUGCAAGUCGAGCGAAUGGAUUAAGAGCUUGCUCUUAUGAAGUUAGCGGCGGACGGGUGAGUAACACGUGGGUAACCUGCCCAUAAGACUGGGAUAACUCCGGGAAACCGGGGCUAAUACCGGAUAACAUUUUGAACCGCAUGGUUCGAAAUUGAAAGGCGGCUUCGGCUGUCACUUAUGGAUGGACCCGCGUCGCAUUAGCUAGUUGGUGAGGUAACGGCUCACCAAGGCAACGAUGCGUGGCCGACCUGGGAGGGUGAUCGGCCACACUGGGACUGAGACACGGCCCAGACUCCUACGGGAGGCAGCAGUAGGGAAUCUUCCGCAAUGGACGAAAGUCUGACGGAGCAACGCCGCGUGAGUGAUGAAGGCUUUCGGGUCGUAAAACUCUGUUGUUAGGGAAAAACAAGUGCUAGUUGAAUAAGCUGGCACCUUGACGGUACCUAACCAGAAAGCCACGGCUAACUACGUGCCAGCCGCCGCUGUAA